rnacentral:lncRNA from 1 species
CUGAAUUUGGAAUUUAGAAUGUUUAAUGUAAAAGAGCUUACCAUGACAGAGACCCCAGCUCCUAGUAGUAGAAGCCAGAUGAAGGCUUCUAAACAUGACACCUUCAUCUGGAUUCUGGUAACCUUAACCACUGGGCAUAACUGCCUCAUGCCUCGUCUGCCAUCAAACCCGGCCACUGUUGAGUUGAUUGCUGUACUCUUGCCUGGUCAAAGUAAGAUCUUCUGGGCCUGGUGACUGAAGACCAAUGCUGGCCUGAGACCUCCACCUCCCCCCAAGCCAUCGUAGCCACAGAGCCUAGGGUGAUCAUCUCGAUAAUGACUUGUAUCUGUCUCAGCAGAUUUCCACUGAGACAGAUUUCAGAUGACAGGCACCACCCAGGAAUCAGCUGCAGACUACAGACUGAUCCAGAUGGCUUGGAGCCCUGGACUUGCCGAAAGCUGACAUGGACCAAGCCAGCUGAUUCGGAUUGCUCCCUGUCUCUCCAGCUGGGUCAGCUCACCAGAUGCUUCUAAUGAAUGCUCCAUUUCCUGAAUCUGAGGACAACAUCUUAAUUUCAGCAUGAAGUAGUUAAAGAGAGUAGAGUAUGCUACCCUGUGUCCUCAACAGGCUGUGAUGUUAGGUCAAAAGGACCUGGCACAGGGGACAAAACGGCUGCCUAUCUUGCCCACUGGCAUACCAGGAAAGGUACUUGUUGAAACCAAAUAGACUCAGAUCUAUCAACAGGCUCCUCCUGGAUAGUAACUGAUGUCAGCCAAUGCAGGGCCUUUGACCUUUCUGUUUCUACUAAUUACUGUUGCCCCUGGCAUCAUUAAUGCCUUAACUUGAUGAUAAUUCUCAUCUGGGUACCAUUAAGCUGAUGGUUAUUAGAUCCCAGUGUAAACAGGUACCUGCCACAGAGUCGAGGAUUUGACUCAGGAUACAACCCAAGGGGGAUUGACUCAGCACCAUUUUCUGGGAAUCUCAGAAUACUCGAGACCAGAGUCCACCACCUUGGCCAGUAUUUAAUUAAAGCUUGCUUCAAGUUUGGCUCAAGAUAUUGUGGUAGUGGUCUUAUUAAUAAGCCAGUGGGAUUAUUAAUACAAGGUCACAGGGUGGACUUCAGGAUGAUAAAGUAAGAAGACACCUAUUUAAGCAGCUGCUAAUCCUUAAGUGCUAUAACCUGCAGUUCCCAGGAAAAAAAGGCCACACAACUGUGUUGAAGAUUCUAAACCAGCUAUGGGGUUUGAACUUUACAACUUGGGAGAGCUGGAAAGCUGUUGAUCCAGAAUCCAGAUUAUCUUGGGCUAUCUUAAUAACCCCCACUAGCCACUGAACACCCAUGUUCUACACCUGAACUAUUAACUCACAACCAACCUAAGGGCUAACACCGUCAUCACACAGUAUCUAAAACCUGCGGCAGAGAUGUCCCCACUCUGCUGUACCCUACCUACCAUGUGAUGGGUAAAUUACUUUAAUAAUCCAUGAGCUUCUUUUGUUUUGUGUCUAUUAAAAAAUUCACAUAAUUGUUUCCAUGUUCCCAUUGCUUCCUGGGCCACUGUUGGCUGUCCCACAUUCUCUUGGAGGUGUGUCACAGUUACUUUCAGCUGUCAACAUGACACAAACUUAAGAGUCAUUGGGGAAGAGGAACCUCAACUGAAGCAUUGUCUCCAACAGACUGGCCUGUGGCCAUGGUCUCAACUGUCAGCUGAUGCUGGAGGGAGCAGGCACUGUGAAUUGUGCCAUUCCUAGGUAGGUGGGCCUGGGCUGUAUACACAAACUGAGAAAGCCACAGGGU